rnacentral:sRNA from 1 species
GAAAUGUGUAACUGCAUUGCGUGCUAA